rfam:Tilletia controversa strain DAOM 236426 scaffold_75, whole genome shotgun sequence.
GCAUUAGUAGUUUAGUGGUAAAAUAGGCGCUUGCCAUCACAUGAGAUUCAAUUGCGCCUGCCGAGGGUUCGAUUCCCUCCUAAUGCA